AUGGAGGUCCUGCUGCUCCUGGCCGUCCUCUUCUAUCUGGCCAUUCUUCUCCGGCAAAGAACUAGGAGGUCCCGUGCUCAGACGACCCUUCACAAGGUUGUCGACACCGCCGCCGCCCACCACGCGCUGAACGAGAAAGCGAGCGCCUUCUCGAACCGCCCCGCCGCCAUCUUCCCGGUGGUCCUGGCCACCGGGCUUAGCGGCGAACGGAACGAGAACAUAACCACGGUCAAGUAUGGCCCCCACUGGCGCGCGCUCCGGUGCAACCUCAUGGCCAAGAGCCUCCACCCCUCGCGUCUCGGUUCCCUCGCCCCGAUGCAACGGGAGGCCAGCCAGGCCCUCGUCGCCGACCUGUCCGGACUUGUCCGGGACGCAACCGGCAACGUGCUCGUUGUCCGUGGCCACAUCAACACCGCCGUGUUCGGGCUGGUCGCGCGCCUGUGCUUCGGCGACGGCGUUGACGUGGGCCAUGUGCGCGCCAUGGAGCUCGUGAUACAGGACUUUAUCGUCUCCAUGGGGGAGCUCAACCCUGUGUUCGACGGCACGAUGUUGUGCAAGCUCAUGAACUGGAGGCGGCUUGGACGGCUCUUCGCCUUCCUCGGCCGGCAGACCAAGCUGUUCCUCCCCCUCAUCAACGAGCGAAGGCGGCCCGAGUCUCGGUCCUGCACCGCCGAUGGCGGCGUCGAACCGUACGUCCAUUCAUUCCUUGAUCUACGUGUCCCCGACGACGAUGCUGGCGGCAAGCAGGGAAAGGACGCCCGGCGCGAGCUCCGGGACGACGAACUGGUGAGCCUCGUGUCGGAGUUCCUCGGCGCCGGCUCGGGUUCGGUCGUGGCCAGCUUGGAGUGGACCCUCGCCCACCUCGUGGACCAGCCGGACGUCCAGGACAUGCUGCGUCGGGAGAUCAUCGACGGUGAGACCAGUAAUGGCGGGGUAAUCUCCACCAAGAGCCUCCGCGGCAUGCCGUACCUGCACGCCGUGGUGAUGGAGAGCCUCCGCAUGCACCCACCCGUGCCGUUCAUCCUGCGCGGCGUCCACGGCGAGGGUGCCGCGACGGUAGGCGCUACGUUGGCGGCCGUGCCAGCUGAUGGCCUGAGGGUACAGUUCAUUGUUGGCGACAUUGGGAGGGAUAGCAAGACGUGGACGGACCCGGACGAGUUCCGGCCAGAGCGGUUCCUCGCCGGAGGUGAGGCAGAGGGCAUCGGGCCAACACCAGGCCCCAAGGAGAUCCGGAUGAUGCCGUUCGGGGCGGCGCACAGGCACUGCCCUGGCUCGAGCCAGGCGAUGGUGAACAUCAAGUUCUUCCUGGCCGCGCUUGUACGCGAGUUCGAGUGGGCGGCGCCGGCGGAUGACUGCAGCGUCGACCUCACAGAGCUCGACGGGUUCUUCAAGGUCAUGAAGAAACCACUUUCGGCGCGUGUCACACGGCGCACUCAAGUCGUGUAA
rnacentral:rRNA from 1 species